GAAGCGGCAGACGGACAGAGAAACAACUGUAAGGACUAUAAAUCUCAAAAUUGGACAUUGGAAUUCAUUAUAAAGAUACAACAAACGGAAGAAUUGGCAACAACCAGCUCUCGCAAUUAAGAAACGUGCCAAUUCAGCAGAUUCCUGACCAAAGGUGAAAAGUACACUGUGAGGAAGACUCGGGGUCUUCCUCCCAAAGACCCCUGACCACGUCCCAAAGACCCCUGCCCACAAUUCUUGGGAGGCUCUACGCAGGCGUAAGGUGCCAAAAGGCUAAUUAGCAUGAGAAGCGAGGGAAGGCGGGGAUAGGUAAUGCAUAUGUAUAGGCGCUUGUAGAAUAUUGAUAGAUUGAUUGUAGAAAUUCAAGACUGCUUUCCGCUUUGGGUAUGCACGAUAGGUGGAGAGAUCCCCCGUGCAUCCAGCGCUGCAAUAAAGAAUAUACCACUUAAAGGAAUUUCAGCUUCGAUCUUUGAAUCAGUUUCAAAUGAACGGGGUUUUUUAUUUAACUAUUUACUUCCUAUAUGUGACUGCGUAGCCGUGGCCAGGCAUUGGGCAAAAGCAACAGCUUACGUAACGGGGGGGCUGUCCUUUGUGAUUUAUUUAAUCUCCGCACAUUAUUGCAACAAUCCACACCGGAGAAGACACUCAGAAGCGCCGUGGCUCGGCGAGGAAAGCCUCACGACGCUCACGACGCUCCCCCCGCCGCCCGACCCCCCUCCGCCGGGCCCUUCCCCACGGUAACGCGAGGGGGCCCCACCCUGGGGCCGUGCCCCCUUUAAGAGCCGAGAGCCAACCCCCUCCCCAUCGCCCCCAUUGGUCACAUACGUGCACAAAAUGGCGGACGCCCCGCCCCCGCCACUGCGCUUUGCGCCUUGCGCCCGCCCAGCCUGGAGCCGGGUCCCGCGCGCAGGGGAUGAUGGGAGUUGUAGUCUUCAGCCC
rnacentral:lncRNA from 1 species